rnacentral:rRNA from 1 species
GACGAACGCUGGCGGCGUGCUUAACACAUGCAAGUCGAACGGAAAGGCCCUGCUUUUGUGGGGUGCUCGAUUGGCGAACGGGUGAGUAACACGUGAGUAACCUGCCCUUGACUUUGGGAUAACUUCAGGAAACUGGGGCUAAUACCGGAUAGGAUCUCCUGCUGCAUGGUGGUGGUUGGAAAGUUUCGGCGGUUGGGGAUGGACUCGCGGCUUAUCAGCUUGUUUGUGGAGUAGUGGCUUACCAAGGCUUUGACGGGUAGGCGGCCUGAGAGGGUGACCGGCCACAUUGGGACUGAGAUACGGCCCAGACUGCUACGGGAGGCAGCAGUGGGGAAUAUUGCACAAUGGGCGGAAGCCUGAUGCAGAAACGCCGCGUGCGGGAUGACGGCCUACGGGUUGUAAACCGCUUUCGACUGUGACGAAGCGUGAGUGACGGUAAUGAGUAAAGAAGCACCGGCUAACUACGUG